AAGCAAAGGUCGGAUGAUGCUAAAGGGGAUGACUCUUCAGGGAUCUUGAUCUACCAAGUAGCACUCUUUGCCUACGAGUAGGUCGAGUGCAGGUCGAAUCAACAUAUACCCAACCGUGUUCUUUGCUUAUGGGCAGGUCCAGCAUAGGCUGUAUCGACACCAACUAUGAACGUCACUCCCUGCCUAUAGGUGGGUCGAGCAAAGCCCAUUUCGGUCUGCUCCCUACCAAUAGAU
rnacentral:lncRNA from 1 species